UGAGGCAAAAGGCUAGGUCUAGCGGUGGACUAGGUGAAUUGAAGCAGCUGAGCAAUUUGAGAGGAAGACUUGAGAUCAAAUAUUUGGGACAUGGAAGAGAUGAUAUCUUAAAGAGUGGGAUGGUGGAGGAAUUCAGAUGAUGAUGAUGAUAAUCAUCUCUUGCUUCCAUCAUUUCCUCCUUCUCUUUCUCAUUUAUAGAUUAUCGAAUGCCCUAACUUGACUUCCAUGCCCCUAAUUCCUGAUCUCACUUCUUUAAAAAUGUUGGAUAUUUUUGGUUGUCCCCUCUUAAGGCAAACAAUGAAGAUUGGCCCAUCCAUCAUUGUUCAUUUCCCAAAUAAUCCAGCAAGAAAAAAAAAAUUUAUUCAGACUUUGUUUUAGUCAAAAGUAGAACAAAGAUUGAGGUCUACCAAUGUAGACAUUCACAAAUUUGGAGAUAAUAUUUAUCUGUGUUGGCACAAGGUCAAGAACUCAGUGAAUCAUAGCAAAUUUCUUAGAACUUUGAAGGGAGCACUUGACCAGGCAACUAACAUGGCAGGAAUUAGCUUACUAAGCUGACUGACUUUGAAGUCAGAGAAGAACUAGAGAAUGACUGAAUGAGUCUAAUUUGUUCAUCCAUGCACAAAUUCAAAGGUUGUUCUGCUCCAAACAAAACCCAAGGUUAAGAACGUUUGGUUUUUCCAUUGGUUGGUAAUUUGGCACUCUCUCUCUCUCUCUCUCUGUGCUAAAGCCAUGGCCCUUGCUUCUUGAAUUUUGGAUGUGGAGACAAAAUUCAAGAACCUGCCCUGUUCAAAACUUUCUGGCCCUGAAAUCGUUUAACAAGUAGUGUACUCAGUGGUAAUCAUCUUCUCUCUAUCUUUUAAAAUUUAGGCGAAUCUCUUUCUGUUUUGUUUCCUUUCUGUAUGUUCAAAGGCCUGCUGUUGCACAGAAAGGAUAGAGUUUAUAUCUUUGUAACUACAAUUGACUCAAUGGUGAUGUACUUGGUUGCUUCACUGACAAUUGCAGAAAUAGAGAAACUUUCACUACUUGAUGGGAGUCUACCAUGCCAA